UGUUGUACUAUUUGAUGAAGUCUUUAUGUUAAGACAAAAGUCCUUAUCUCGUAAAUAAAAGUUUGUAGCAGCACUGGAGUUGUUCACAGCAUUCUGUUCUUUGUAUUUUUUAGCAGUUUGUUGGUGGAGUUGGAUUUUAACAUACUUCAAUGAACAGUGGUUUGAUAUGAAAGUAGCAGAGUCCUGGCAUUAUUUCAACUGACAUGCUGAAUCCAGAGGCAUUCGGAAAGGUGGUGGAGGUGUCAGUAAAUAGAAGCAGUAGGCUACUUUCCCUUGCCAAGCUUUUGAAUCAAAGGUUUACCAUUUUUUUGGAGUGCAGUUUGAUGAAUGGUGAGCCAAAAGACAGUGCUUGUUUGCGUAGUUUGCUAAUGGGAGUGUGUGGCUGAUCAGAUUGACCCUGUUCAUUCAUGACGAAUGCUGACAACGAAAAUCAUACAGUGCAUUUUACAUCAAUCAAAGAUUGACUGCAUCGAAAAUAAAGAGAUGUUCAUUUUGGAUCGAAAGAUUCUAUUUAUGAAUCGUGCUGCAGUGUGGACAUAUAAUCAGCUUGUGGUACACAGGACAGAAGAUGUGUUUAAAUCCCUAUUCCUGCCUCUAAUGAAAUUGCAUACUAUUCAUUUUGAGAUUUAAAAUGUUGAGAAGUAAACAGAUGCGUCUGUGUGUAUGUGGAGCACAGUUAGAAAAGAAAAGAAAAACAAUCAAGGGACAAAAGUCAUAAUGUACCUAGAAGAUGGAAAUCCAGUUUGUUUUUCUAUCUACUACACUAACUUGUUUACCAGUGUUUUUGAAAUUUGAAAGGUUUUCAUGUUGGUGCUCAUUUACUAAGAUGUGCUUUGGCUGUCAUGUAUUGCAAAUGAUAAUGAAGCAAAGUUAAAAUCUUUUAUUGCAACUAUUAUUGUUACAAUCUUAGAUAUCUGAAGAGACAGUUAACACAAAGAGGCUGUAAUGGUGGCUGUACACAUGAAAGUGCUAAAGAUAUGAUAACAAGUGUGGUGUGUAUUUGUGAAAAGCACAUCGUGAUACUUUACUGUAGCUGCAUGUGUGUGAAACAAUUGCAAUAACUUCA